rnacentral:rRNA from 1 species
UACUCGAGUGGCGAACGGGUGAGUAACACGUGGGUGAUCUGCCCUGCACUUCGGGAUAAGCUUGGGAAACUGGGUCUAAUACCGGAUAGGAGCCAUCUUUAGUGUGGUGGUUGGAAAGUUUUUUCGGUGUAGGAUGAGCUCGCGGCCUAUCAGCUUGUUGGUGGGGUAAUGGCCUACCAAGGCGGCGACGGGUAGCCGGCCUGAUAGGGUGUACGGCCACAUUGGGACUGAGAUACGGCCCAG